rnacentral:rRNA from 1 species
GACGAACGCUGGCGGCGUGCUUAACACAUGCAAGUCGAACGAGGCCCCGCCUUCGGGUGGGUGCUCUAGUGGCGAACGGGUGAGUAACACGUGGGCAACCUGCCCCCAGCUCUGGGAUAACUCCAAGAAAUUGGGGCUAAUACCGGAUAUGACCGCUGACCGCAUGGUCUGGUGGUGGAAAGUUUUUCGGCUGGGGAUGGGCCCGCGGCCUAUCGGCUUGUUGGUGGGGUAGUGGCCUACCAAGGCGACGACGGGUAGCCGGCCUGAGAGGGGGACCGGCCACACUGGGACUGAGACACGGCCCAGACUCCUACGGGAGGCAGCAGUGGGGAAUAUUGCGCAAUGGGCGGAAGCCUGACGCAGCGACGCCGCGUGGGGGAUGACGGCCUUCGGGUUGUAAACCUCUUUCAGCAGGGACGAAGCGCAAGUGACGGUACCUGCAGAAGAAGCACCGGCCAACUACGUGCCAGCAGCCGCCGUAAAAC